rnacentral:lncRNA from 1 species
AUGAUCGUUAUGAGCGUGGCCAGCUUUGAACAUGUUCAAACCAGUCGUUGUGCGGUUGUGACAAAAUCACUACGCAGUAGAUGCGUAGCGAGAGCGCAGUAAUGUCUUGGUAAUAUCGAAAAGGUUGCAGUACUAUUCUAGCGAGAACGUAGCGAUAGGGCGAUUCUAGUCGGAGAUAUUGCGCUACGAUCUCACAGCAACGUUACUACGACCUCACUACGACCAUCACGUUCUCUCCGCGACCCAACAACACUUCUUCUGCGACAAUAUUACUAAGACCAUCGUACGAUUCUAGAACGCUCAUGCCGUCCUCAUCACGCUUGUAUUAUGUCCUGACUACGUUCAUACUACAAC